AUUGAACGCUGGCGGCAGGCCUAACACAUGCAAGUCGAACGAGUGGCGGACGGGUGAGUAAUGUCUGGGAAACUGCCUGAUGGAGGGGGAAAACUACGGGAAACGGUAGCUAAUACCGCAUACCAUCGGAUGUGCCCAGAUGGGAUUAGCUAGUGGGUGGGGUAACGGCUCACCUAGGCGACGAUCCCUAGCUGGUCUGAGAGGAUGACCAGCCAAACCGGAACUGAGGAACGGUCCAGACUCCCAAGGGAGGCAGCAGGGGGGAAUAUUGCACAAUGGGCGCAAGCUUGAUGCAGCCAUGCCGCGGGUAUGAAGAAGGCCUUCGGGUUGUAAAGUACUUUCAUCGGGGAGGCGUUACUCGCAGAAGAAGCACCGGCUAACUCCGUGCCAGCAGCCGCGGUAAUUC
rnacentral:rRNA from 1 species